rnacentral:rRNA from 1 species
AGUGAACGCUGGCGGUAGGCCUAACACAUGCAAGUCGAACGGCAGCACAGUAAGAGCUUGCUCUUACGGGUGGCGAGUGGCGGACGGGUGAGGAAUACAUCGGAAUCUACUUUUUCGUGGGGGAUAACGUAGGGAAACUUACGCUAAUACCGCAUACGACCUACGGGUGAAAGCAGGGGAUCUUCGGACCUUGCGCGAUUGAAUGAGCCGAUGUCGGAUUAGCUAGUUGGCGGGGUAAAGGCCCACCAAGGCGACGAUCCGUAGCUGGUCUGAGAGGAUGAUCAGCCACACUGGAACUGAGACACGGUCCAGACACCGACGGGAGGCAGCAGUGGGGAAUAUUGGACAAUGGGCGCAAGCCUGAUCCAGCCAUACCGCGUGGGUGAAGAAGGCCUUCGGGUUGUAAAGCCCUUUUGUUGGGAAAGAAAAGCAGCAGGUUAAUACCCCGCUGUUCUGACGGUACCCAAGAAUAAGCACCGGCUAACUUCGUG